rnacentral:misc_RNA from 1 species
AAGUCGUAACAAGGUUUCCGUAGGUGAACCUGCGGAAGGAUCAUUAAUGAAAGAUAAUUUUUUGGGGUUUUCCCUGAAAAAUAAUUCACCUUUUGUGCAUUGUUAUUAGAUAUACUUUGGUUAGAGCUUUGAUUUCAUUUUUUGAAAUCAACUUCUUGCUGACUCUAUCCUAUUAUAUGGGACAGUUGGCUAUGAAGCGGCCUACCAAGGUUUUUUAUAAAACUCUUGUAUUUUGUCUGACCUGUAAACAAAUAAUUAAAUCAUAACUUUCAACAACGGAUCUCUUGGCUCUC